rnacentral:misc_RNA from 1 species
UUGCUCCGUUCGACCAGGGUCGCGGCCUCGGCGAGGGCGCGGCCAUGGUUCUCGAACUGCGACGAGAGGGCGUUGAGAUUUUCCAGCGCGCUCGACGUCUUGGCGGUGAAGGUUCCGAGCUGCUGCUCCAGCGUGUUGGUGGAGUCGCCGUUGCGGUUGGUGACGUCGUUCAUCGUCGAGACGAACUCCGCGACCCGCGUAACAAGCGUGCGCUCGAGCGAGUUGAGGUUGUCGUGGGCGCCGGUGAGCACUUCCUGGAGCAGGAUGUUGCCUUCACGCAGCCGCUCGAACAGGGCGAGCGUAUCGGUGCGCAGGAUCUUCGAGGUCUCCUGCAGCUCGUUGAUGGUCGACGUCGCCACCUGACGUGACUGGUCGAUCGCCGCGCGCGAGGUCUGGUCGAUGUCCUUCAGCGACUUGCUGACGGCGCCGAUCGCGAUCUCGCUGGCGGUGUUGAUCUGGCGGGCCAGAUCCGAGGAGUUGUUCAUCAUC